rnacentral:rRNA from 1 species
GACGAACGCUGGCGGCGUGCUUAACACAUGCAAGUCGAACGGAAAGGCCCUGCUUUUGUGGGGUGCUCGAGUGGCGAACGGGUGAGUAACACGUGAGUAACCUGCCCUUGACUUUGGGAUAACUUCAGGAAACUGGGGCUAAUACCGGAUAGGAGCUCCUGCUGCAUGGUGGGGGUUGGAAAGAUUCGGCGGUUGGGGAUGGACUCGCGGCUUAUCAGCGUGUUGGUGGGGUAGUGGCUUACCAAGGCUUUGACGGGUAGCCGGCCUGAGAGGGUGACCGGCCACAUUGGGACUGAGAUACGGCCCAGACUCCUACGGGAGGCAGCAGUGGGGAAUAUUGCACAAUGGGCGGAAGCCUGAUGCAGCAACGCCGCGUGCGGGAUGACGGCCUUCGGGUUGUAAACCGCUUUCGCCUGUGACGAAGCGUGAGUGACGGUAAUGGGUAAAGAAGCACCGGCUAACUACGUG